ACAAAAUAACAUUUAAUACAAAAUAAUAGUAAUAUAUUAUGAUUUACUUACAACAAAUAUAUAUUUAUAUAAAAGAUAAAUAAAUGCACGGGACUAUUAAAACCGAAGUGGUAGAAGGGGAAAUAAGAAGCUCAAUAGCAGGAAGACUUCUCAGCCCCGUAGAAGACAUGUAAGGAAGUAGCUCAUACUUGUGGAACGAACAACCCAGUCGGAAAAAAAGAAUCAAAGAAGAUGGCAGCCCAGUCCAGUAAGAUUGAGAAGGAGUCCAGCAAUUCCAUGAACUAGAGAGGGAGCAGAGUCUCAGUCUGGCACUUGCUUCGGUUCUUGAUCACGAGCUCCCUUCCAAUUAAGAUAGUUUUAGUUAAAAGCACUGGCAUUAAAAACGUUACUUUUCAAAAUCAUUUAAUAAUAUCAUUUUAACUAAUUACUAGAUAUUGAUCCGUGCUGUGCGCUGAUAUGAUUUGGUCAAAUUUUCGUAAUAACUAUUUGAGAUUAGAUUAUUUCAUUUUGAAUUUUUAUUUAUAUUAUACUUCUUCCUUAAAAUUUACGUUUUUUUGGAGAACUCCUUAUAAUUUAAUUUUGUUUUGUUGUCAAGACUUGUCAUGAAUAUAUAUGCACACAUUUGGUUUUUUUUUUAAAAAAAUUUAAUCAAACGAGUAUAAACACCUUUGGGCCAUAUGAUCAAAUUGAUAGACGUAAUGGACCCAUUAAUUUGUAAGGAAUUAAACUUUUAGUCUAAUGAAAUUGGUCCAUUAGUUACAGAAGACCAAGAAAAACAAAAUAAAGCCCAAAAUUAUUUUUUUCCGGGAAGGUGAACAACUUUAACGUGUCGGAAAAAAACUUAACAACUUUACUUUUUUGGUCUUCUCUGUCGGUGAUCCCGUCCUCUUAAUCGUCUUCUCGGUAACAACAAACAAAAUCUGUUGAAUCUACCCCUGUUCGCUGAUGAGAAAUUCAAAAUCGUUCACUCUAUCAUCUUCACAAUCGAUCUACUGUCGUUAAGGUUAGGAUUGUUUUUGUCUGUAUACUAUCAUAUUAAACGAUCAGGGUUAUAUUAAACCUCCAAAUUGGUCCAUUAGUUACAGAAGACCAAGAAAAGCAAAAUAAAGCCCACAGUUAUUUUUUUUCCGGGAAGGUGAACAACUUUAAUGUGCCGGAAAAAAAACUUAAGAACUUUACUUUCUUGGUCUUCUCUGUCGGUGAUCCCGUCCUCUUAAUCGUCUUCUCGGUAACAACAAACAAAAUCUGUUGAAUCUACCCAUGUUUGCUGAUGAGAAAUUCAAAAUCGUUCACUCUAUCAUCUUCACAAUCGAUCUACUGUCGUUAAGAUCGAGCAUGACUAUGACCUUUCAAGGCAUGUUUUGGUUCUGGAUCGAUGAUUUUAAUGCUGUGACUCUUAAUGAUUUGGCACUGCAUCAUCGAGGGACGAAAGGGAUUGCGAAUGGAUAAGUUAAGUUGACUCUUUAUUUUUUAAAUUGUGUUUCCUUGUAUUCAUUUGUAUAAUCAAUAUUGAAUAAUCAUAUAACAGAAUACACAAAUAAUGGAGUCUUGAUAUUAUUUUGGACAGGUAACGAAAGUUUGAUCAUAAAAAGACUUAAAGAAGAGUAGAAGACAAACCACAGAUAGCUAAUUAAAAAGUAGAUCAUUCGUAAAGAUUGAAUAAAAGAAGAACUGCAAAAUAAAGACGAAAAGAGUUCACUAAACCAAUUUCAGAUACAAAGGGAGGACUCAGUCACGUUGGAGUUGCUUAAGAUGGACAUCAUGUAUUCAUGGCUCGUUGGACGGUACUUUCCGCCAGCUGGGGUCACAUCGAAAUUCUCAAUGAACCUCCAUGCUCCAAUCUGCAAUUUCUUAACAUGAGCAAGGAAGAGUCUCUUGCAGGUACAAUGAAUCUUAACACCCUACAUUAUAAGAACGCAUUAAAUUUAGGUUUAGAGAAUAUGUAAAAUCUUUGUGAAACAUAACUGUAACAAAUAGACACUUACUGUCUUAUCUGCCAGUAUGAACUGAAAAGAGUCUCCACCAGUGUAAUUCGAAUGUUGUGUCCAUGAAUGCAGAACCUUUACUUCAA